UGAAGAGUUUGAUCAUGGCUCAGAUUGAACGCUGGCGGCAGGCCUAACACAUGCAAGUCGAACGGUAACAGGAAGCAGCUUGCUGCUUUGCUGACGAGUGGCGGACGGGUGAGUAAUGUCUGGGAAACUGCCUGAUGGAGGGGGAUAACUACUGGAAACGGUGGCUAAUACCGCAUAACGUCGCAAGACCAAAGAGGGGGACCUUCGGGCCUCUUGCCAUCAGAUGUGCCCAGAUGGGAUUAGCUUGUUGGUGAGGUAACGGCUCACCAAGGCGACGAUCCCUAGCUGGUCUGAGAGGAUGACCAGCCACACUGGAACUGAGACACGGUCCAGACUCCUACGGGAGGCAGCAGUGGGGAAUAUUGCACAAUGGGCGCAAGCCUGAUGCAGCCAUGCCGCGUGUAUGAAGAAGGCCUUCGGGUUGUAAAGUACUUUCAGCGGGGAGGAAGGUGUUGUGGUUAAUAACCGCAGCAAUUGACGUUACCCGCAGAAGAAGCACCGGCUAACUCCGUGCCAGCAGCCGCGGUAAUACGGAGGGUGCAAGCGUUAAUCGGAAUUACUGGGCGUAAAGCGCACGCAGGCGGUCUGUCAAGUCGGAUGUGAAAUCCCCGGGCUCAACCUGGGAACUGCAUUCGAAACUGGCAGGCUUGAGUCUUGUAGAGGGGGGUAGAAUUCCAGGUGUAGCGGUGAAAUGCGUAGAGAUCUGGAGGAAUACCGGUGGCGAAGGCGGCCCCCUGGACAAAGACUGACGCUCAGGUGCGAAAGCGUGGGGAGCAAACAGGAUUAGAUACCCUGGUAGUCCACGCCGUAAACGAUGUCUACUUGGAGGUUGUGCCCUUGAGGCGUGGCUUCCGGAGCUAACGCGUUAAGUAGACCGCCUGGGGAGUACGGCCGCAAGGUUAAAACUCAAAUGAAUUGACGGGGGCCCGCACAAGCGGUGGAGCAUGUGGUUUAAUUCGAUGCAACGCGAAGAACCUUACCUGGUCUUGACAUCCACGGAAGUUUUCAGAGAUGAGAAUGUGCCUUCGGGAACCGUGAGACAGGUGCUGCAUGGCUGUCGUCAGCUCGUGUUGUGAAAUGUUGGGUUAAGUCCCGCAACGAGCGCAACCCUUAUCCUUUGUUGCCAGCGGUCCGGCCGGGAACUCAAAGGAGACUGCCAGUGAUAAACUGGAGGAAGGUGGGGAUGACGUCAAGUCAUCAUGGCCCUUACGACCAGGGCUACACACGUGCUACAAUGGCGCAUACAAAGAGAAGCGACCUCGCGAGAGCAAGCGGACCUCAUAAAGUGCGUCGUAGUCCGGAUUGGAGUCUGCAACUCGACUCCAUGAAGUCGGAAUCGCUAGUAAUCGUGGAUCAGAAUGCCACGGUGAAUACGUUCCCGGGCCUUGUACACACCGCCCGUCACACCAUGGGAGUGGGUUGCAAAAGAAGUAGGUAGCUUAACCUUCGGGAGGGCGCUUACCACUUUGUGAUUCAUGACUGGGGUGAAGUCGUAACAAGGUAACCGUAGGGGAACCUGCGGUUGGAUCACCUCCUUACCUUAAAGAAGC
rnacentral:rRNA from 5 species